CUUGGAUAUGGAGACAUGUACCCCAAGACUUGGUCAGGAAUGCUGGUAGGAGCCCUAUGUGCUCUUGCCGGAGUGCUGACCAUCGCCAUGCCCGUGCCCGUCAUCGUAAACAAU
rfam:Xenopus laevis strain J chromosome 4S, whole genome shotgun sequence.